AUUGAACGCUGGCGGCAGGCCUAAUACAUGCAAGUCGGACGGUAACAUAAGAAAAGCUUGCUUUUCUUGAUGACGAGUGGCGGACGGGUGAGUAAGAUUUGGGAAACUACCUGGUAGAGGGGGACAACAGUUGGAAACGACUGCUAAUACCGCAUACAGCCUCAGGGUGAAAGAAGAAAUUCGCUAUCAGAUGUGCCCAAACGGGAUUAGCUAGUAGGUGAGGUAAAGGCUCACCUAGGCGACGAUCUCUAGCUGGUCUGAGAGGAUGAUCAGCCACAUUGGGACUGAGACACGGCCCAGACUCCUACGGGAGGCAGCAGUAGGGAAUAUUGCACAAUGGAGGAAACUCUGAUGCAGCCAUGCCGCGUGUGUGAAAGAAGGCCUUGGGUUGUAAAGCACUUUCGGAGGGGAGGAAGAAAAUGACGUUACCUCAGAAGAAGCACCGGCUAACUCCGUG
rnacentral:rRNA from 1 species